GACGAACGCUGGCGGCGUGCCUAAUACAUGCAAGUCGAGCGGACGAAUCGAAAGCUUGCUUUUGAUUCGUUAGCGGCGGACGGGUGAGUAACACGUGGGCAACCUGCCCUGUAGACGGGGAUAACACCGAGAAAUCGGUGCUAAUACCGGAUAACACGAAAUGUCGCAUGACGUUUCGUUGAAAGACGGCGCACGCUGUCGCUACAGGAUGGGCCCGCGGCGCAUUAGCUAGUUGGUGAGGUAACGGCUCACCAAGGCGACGAUGCGUAGCCGACCUGAGAGGGUGAUCGGCCACACUGGGACUGAGACACGGCCCAGACUCCUACGGGAGGCAGCAGUAAGGAAUCUUCCGCAAUGGACGAAAGUCUGACGGAGCAACGCCGCGUGAGCGAAGAAGGCCUUCGGGUCGUAAAGCUCUGUUGUUAGGGAAGAACAAGUAACGCAGUAACUGGCGUUACCGUGACGGUACCUAACGAGAAAGCCACGGCUAACUACGUG
rnacentral:rRNA from 1 species